rnacentral:misc_RNA from 1 species
AAGUCGUAACAAGGUUUCCGUAGGUGAACCUGCGGAAGGAUCAUUAGCUUAUAGAGACGAGCCGGGCGGCGCAAGCCAUUCGGCCGUCAUCUACAAACACCGUGUGAACGAGGAACAAGUUUACGAGUCUUGAUGCUCGGCCUUAACCGGGCUGGGCAUCAGCAUUCGGCCUUAAACCUUUGUAACAAACGCGCUAACAAAACAAAAAAACAAAAUAUAUACACAACUUUUAACAAUGGAUCUCUAGGCUCCU